rnacentral:rRNA from 1 species
GAAAUUUAUUUAACGGCCGCAGUACUUUGACUGUGCUAAGGUAGCAUAAUCACUUGUCUUUUAAUUGAGGACUAGAAUGAAAGGAAUGUCGGGGAAGUACCUGUCUUUUUAAAACAAUAUAAAAAUUACUAAAAGGGUGAAAAUUCCCUUGAAUUAUAAAUAAGACGAGAAGACCCUUAGAAUUAUUAAAAAACAUCCUCUUAGAUUAACUUUUUUGUUGGGGCAACAGCCAUAAUAGAACAUUGGCAAUUUAAAUUAAACAAAUCCAAUUUUUUUAGAACGAAUUAAUUACCUGAGGGAUAACAGCAUAAUUAUUUUUUUAGAUUAUGACCUCGAUGUUGGACUAAGGAUUUAAUUUAUUAGAAAUAAGUUAAAAAGGUU